GAAUAUGUAGACUGGGCCGACAGAGCGUAGCACAGUGUUGCAAUAUCGUUUCGCAUCAUAAAAGAGGUGGCUCCUUGUAGUGGUCCAGCUGGAGUGAACCGUGCUCCAGGUUUAAAAUGUUACUAUAUGUUCUGCGUUCCAUAAUGAUUCAAAUAGGUUAUAUGUGAUUCGUAUCGGGAAACUAGGCGUAUGUCGUGCUUCACUACUUCACAGGAGAGCCAUUUGAAGAGCAGACAAGCCUAGUCAUGAUUGCUGAGGUGUAAACUAAAGCAUCCAAAACACCAGCUGGUCCUGUCCCUCCGGCCCAUCCACCAACUGUGUAUCAGAGUUGUCACACCUGGUGAGGUCAUGCUGGGAGGCCCAACAACUCCAGAAGGUGGAGCCAGGGCCUAGAUAGAUGAUCAACUCACCACACCAGACUGGAAUACAGAUUUGUGGCCAUACAAAGAGGGAACAUUGAGUACAACAUGGAAUAAAAGAUCCAGGUGAUAAUAUCUUUAUAAUAUCAAUCUAAGCAGUUUUUUUGGUAACGUAUUAGAAGUCAGAUUUUUAUUUUUUUAUCCUUUAUUUAACUAGGCAAGUCAGUUAAGAACAAAUUCUUAUUUACAAUGACAGUCUCCUGGGGAACAGCAGGUUAAUUGCCUUGUUCAGG
ensembl:lncRNA